UUAAGUUAGAAAGGGCGCACGGUGGAUGCCUUGACACUAGGAGUCGAUGAAGGACGGGACUAACGCCGAUAUGCUUCGGGGAGCUGUAAGUAAGCUUUGAUCCGAAGAUUUCCGAAUGGGGAAACCCACCAUACGUAAUGGUAUGGUAUCCUUAUCUGAAUACAUAGGGUAAGGAAGACAGACCCAGGGAACUGAAACAUCUAAGUACCUGGAGGAAGAGAAAGCAAAUGCGAUUUCCUGAGUAGCGGCGAGCGAAACGGAACAUAGCCCAAACCAAGAGGCUUGCCUCUUGGGGUUGUAGGACAUUCUAUACGGAGUUACAAAGGAACGAGGUAGACGAAGCGACCUGGAAAGGUCCGUCGUAGAGGGUAACAACCCCGUAGUCGAAACUUCGUUCUCUCUUGAAUGUAUCCUGAGUACGGCGGAACACGUGAAAUUCCGUCGGAAUCUGGGAGGACCAUCUCCCAAGGCUAAAUACUCCCUAGUGAUCGAUAGUGAACCAGUACCGUGAGGGAAAGGUGAAAAGCACCCCGGAAGGGGAGUGAAAGAGAUCCUGAAACCGUGUGCCUACAAAUAGUCAGAGCCCGUUAACGGGUGAUGGCGUGCCUUUUGUAGAAUGAACCGGCGAGUUACGAUCCCGUGCGAGGUUAAGCUGAAGAGGCGGAGCCGCAGCGAAAGCGAGUCUGAAUAGGGCGUUUAGUACGUGGUCGUAGACCCGAAACCAGGUGAUCUACCCAUGUCCAGGGUGAAGUUCAGGUAACACUGAAUGGAGGCCCGAACCCACGCACGUUGAAAAGUGCGGGGAUGAGGUGUGGGUAGCGGAGAAAUUCCAAUCGAACCUGGAGAUAGCUGGUUCUCCCCGAAAUAGCUUUAGGGCUAGCCUUAAGUGUAAGAGUCUUGGAGGUAGAGCACUGAUUGGACUAGGGGUCCUCAUCGGAUUACCGAAUUCAGUCAAACUCCGAAUGCCAAUGACUUAUCCUUAGGAGUCAGACUGCGAGUGAUAAGAUCCGUAGUCAAAAGGGAAACAGCCCAGACCGCCAGCUAAGGUCCCAAAGUGUGUAUUAAGUGGAAAAGGAUGUGGAGUUGCUUAGACAACUAGGAUGUUGGCUUAGAAGCAGCCACCAUUUAAAGAGUGCGUAAUAGCUCACUAGUCGAGUGACUCUGCGCCGAAAAUGUACCGGGGCUAAAUACACCACCGAAGCUGCGGAUUGAUACCGAAUGGUAUCAGUGGUAGGGGAGCGUUCUAAGGACAGUGAAGUCAGACCGUAAGGACUGGUGGAGUGCUUAGAAGUGAGAAUGCCGGUAUGAGUAGCGAAAGACGGGUGAGAAUCCCGUCCACCGAAUGCCUAAGGUUUCCUGAGGAAGGCUCGUCCGCUCAGGGUUAGUCAGGACCUAAGCCGAGGCCGACAGGCGUAGGCGAUGGACAACAGGUUGAUAUUCCUGUACCACCUCUUUAUCGUUUGAGCAAUGGAGGGACGCAGAAGGAUAGAAGAAGCGUGCGAUUGGUUGUGCACGUCCAAGCAGUUAGGCUGAUAAGUAGGCAAAUCCGCUUAUCAUAAAGGCUGAGCUGUGAUGGGGAAGCUCCUUAUGGAGCGAAGUCUUUGAUUCCCCGCUGCCAAGAAAAGCUUCUAGCGAGAUAAAAGGUGCCUGUACCGCAAACCGACACAGGUAGGCGAGGAGAGAAUCCUAAGGUGUGCGAGAGAACUCUGGUUAAGGAACUCGGCAAAAUGACCCCGUAACUUCGGGAGAAGGGGUGCUUUCUUAACGGAAAGCCGCAGUGAAUAGGCCCAAGCGACUGUUUAGCAAAAACACAGCUCUCUGCGAAGCCGUAAGGCGAAGUAUAGGGGGUGACACCUGCCCGGUGCUGGAAGGUUAAGGAGAGGGGUUAGCGUAAGCGAAGCUCUGAACUGAAGCCCCAGUAAACGGCGGCCGUAACUAUAACGGUCCUAAGGUAGCGAAAUUCCUUGUCGGGUAAGUUCCGACCCGCACGAAAGGUGUAACGAUUUGGGCACUGUCUCAACCAGAGACUCGGUGAAAUUAUAGUACCUGUGAAGAUGCAGGUUACCCGCGACAGGACGGAAAGACCCCGUGGAGCUUUACUGUAGCCUGAUAUUGAAUUUUGGUACAGUUUGUACAGGAUAGGCGGGAGCCUUUGAAACCGGAGCGCUAGCUUCGGUGGAGGCGCUGGUGGGAUACCGCCCUGACUGUAUUGAAAUUCUAACCUACGGGUCUUAUCGACCCGGGAGACAGUGUCAGGUGGGCAGUUUGACUGGGGCGGUCGCCUCCUAAAGUGUAACGGAGGCGCCCAAAGGUUCCCUCAGAAUGGUUGGAAAUCAUUCGUAGAGUGCAAAGGCAUAAGGGAGCUUGACUGCGAGACCUACAAGUCGAGCAGGGACGAAAGUCGGGCUUAGUGAUCCGGUGGUUCCGCAUGGAAGGGCCAUCGCUCAACGGAUAAAAGCUACCCCGGGGAUAACAGGCUUAUCUCCCCCAAGAGUCCACAUCGACGGGGAGGUUUGGCACCUCGAUGUCGGCUCAUCGCAUCCUGGGGCUGUAGUCGGUCCCAAGGGUUGGGCUGUUCGCCCAUUAAAGCGGUACGCGAGCUGGGUUCAGAACGUCGUGAGACAGUUCGGUCCCUAUCCGUCGUGGGCGUAGGAAAUUUGAGAGGAGCUGUCCUUAGUACGAGAGGACCGGGAUGGACGCACCGCUGGUGUACCAGUUGUUCUGCCAAGGGCAUAGCUGGGUAGCUAUGUGCGGAAGGGAUAAGUGCUGAAAGCAUCUAAGCAUGAAGCCCCCCUCAAGAUGAGAUUUCCCAUAGCGUAAGCUAGUAAGAUCCCUGAAAGAUGAUCAGGUUGAUAGGUUCGAGGUGGAAGCAUGGUGACAUGUGGAGCUGACGAAUACUAAUAGAUCGAGGACUUAACCAU
rnacentral:rRNA from 1 species